rnacentral:rRNA from 1 species
UACGAAUCGUCCAAACGUUGUUCGGAUUUACUGGGUUUAAAGGGCGCGUAGGCGGUGCGUUAAGUCGGUGGUGAAAUACUUCGGCUCAACCGGAGAAUUGCCGCUGAAACUAGCGUGCUCGAGGAAGGUAGAGGUGCGUGGAACUUCCGGUGGAGCGGUGAAAUGCGUUGAUAUCGGAAGGAACACCUGUGGCGAAAGCGAUGCACUGGACCUUUUCUGACGCUGAGGCGCGAAAGCCAGGGGAGCGAACGGG